GGCUCUCUUGGUUCAAGAACGCCAAAGCAGCCGCCGCGCCGGCCGCCAUGCUGAAACGGCCGUGAGAGCCCCGCCCCCCACGCCGCGCCUCAGCCCAGUUCCGGCCCCGCCCAUUAAAGGAGCCGCGCUCGCCGCACGAGGCGGGGUAAGAGCCGCCGUCGCCUCUUCCACGAGGACAGCCAUGUCUCCAAAGAACAGAGACAUUUCAUUCAGCACACCAAGGAGAGUAAAGAGAGUGAUUGAUCUUCGUUGCUCUUAGGUGAGAAAUGCAACCACACUGGAUGCAGAAAAUAGUGCUGACUCCAUUUAUUUAAGAACCUCUCCCUAGAGAGCCCCACGUAAGAGGCCCUGACCCUAACACAAGACCCAAAGAGGAGCACACCGCAAGCUGCCCGGGUGGGUAUGCAGCAAUACUAUCUUCUCCCAACCAGUGAGCAUCUGACAAGGUGAUGGGUGCGCUUUACAGUCAUCUUUGUUUCCAAUUCAACUGGCUGAUCUGCUGCCGCUCCAGACACUGAACUGUGUGAAGACCUCAACCACCAACCACAAGGUGGAGUUAAGGGACUUUUGGACAGUUCACAGUACCAACAAGUGUCACAGGCUUCGACCAAGUAUAACCACAUCCUUUGGAAAUCCUUCCAUUUUUGCAAUUUCAAAACAGCCUAACUUGCUGUAAAAUUCCAGAAUCCGUUUAUCAUCUGGCCUGACUUCACAGAAAGCCCCCCGGGAGCCUAGAAACAAAACAAAUGUUUUAAAUGUAA
rnacentral:lncRNA from 1 species